GCCAGAAUCACUCCGUCAAGGCAAAACAAAACUAAUGAUGCAGGUAGGAUUUCCAGAAGCAGCUCUUCAGAAUGAGCUCUCGCUGUCAGCAAUUCUGCCAAGAAAUGGAGGCGACUGCUGGGUGCUAUGCUUUGGAUAGAGUUUGAAUGCGGAACCCCGAAGAAUCACCUUAUUAAAGCUUGGCCCCUACAGUGGUGAUGUUAAAACGUGGCGGGACCUUCAAAAGAUAAUCCUGAAUGGGAGGACAUGCAUGUUGUCAAUGGAAAAAUGUAUUCUGCUCCAGGAGUGGCUUCUUGUUUUUCUCUGCAAAUGUCCAAACUGUGCUACACCAUACCAUUCCUGAUGUCUGGGGAGGAAGGACAGAAGUCUCUUCUGCUGUUGGACCGGGCAGGAUAGAGUGCUGGUUUUAGGUUAUUAAUAAGACACUAAAUGCAUAUGCUUCCUGGAGGUCCUCUAGCUCCUUAGGAGUCCCACAGAGCACUCCAGAUAGUCGUUUUGCAUCAGGGGCAGUUUCUUUCAGACAUUUUGCAUCUGUCCAUGAUCUUUGACUUAAUCAGAUUGCUGUCACCAAGUGGGCUUAAGUAAUGCUUUGGAUAAAACAGUGUAAAAUGAGAAACUCGUGAGAACAAUUUGACAGCAAAUUAGAUAUAAACCAUGUUACAGAGAAAGCAGACCCUGGGUCAUAUACCUGCUUGUCAGUUACUUUCACUGGAUUCUAAGCCAUGCUGAGGUUUAACAAAAAUGUCUACCUCUUUCACCUGUGUUUUAGAUGUCCAGCACUAAAUUUUUGGUUGAUAAAAUGAAUCAUUUAAAAUGCUAAUAUAUGUAAAGCCAAUGUUUUAACACAUCUGUUCAAAGCUUUUUCUACUGUAUGGCGUCCACACAGACACACUCCCAUUC